AUUGAACGCUGGCGGCAUGCCUAACACAUGCAAGUCGAACGGCAGCACAGGAUUCGCUUUCUCUGACGGUGGGCGAGGGGCGGAUAAUUGAUGGGUACAUCGGAAGCUGCUGUGUCGUGGUGGGUGACGGCGGGAUACUUACCGUAAUAGCGCAGAGGGCGAACGGGGGGAAUCAUCGGAUCUUCCGACCUUGCGCCGGUCGAUGAGACGAUGUCUGAUUAGCUAGGUGGCGGGGUAAAGGCCCACCAAGGCGACGAUCCGUAGCUGGUCUGAGAGGACGAUCAGCCACACUGGGACUGAGACACGGUCCAGACUCCUACGGGAGGCAGCAGUGGGGAAUAUUGGACAAUGGGCGAAAGCCUGAUCCAGCAAUGCCGCGUGGGUGAUGAAGGCCUUCGGGUUGUAAAGCACUUUUGUCGGGAAAGAAAAGCAGCGGGCUAAUACCACGCUGUUAUGACGGUACCCAAAGAAUAAGCACCGGCUAACUUCGUG
rnacentral:rRNA from 1 species